AAAGCGGACUGAACAGGGCUGGUGUGACUGCCAAUAAGCUAUGCCGUCGGAGCAAUCAAGGGAAUCUGUGUCUGAUGAAGCUACUGAGAGAUGAGAUGCUAGGAGGUAGCACAGGAGAGGAGGCUCAGGAUGCUAAUGAGCCGCAGUGAGCUAACACUUAUCACUUUAAAACUCGGCCUGAUGCUCCCUACUGACGCAGAACGCCGCCGCCAUCUCCCUCUGACAUGUCCAUCUCAUGUUACGACGCAGUCUGGUGCACUUUGGAGGCACCAACAGUUUCACACCAGAGCUGCCUUAAAGUGACGCUUCCUGUUGCUGGAGGAGUCCAGCGGUCACACAGAGUUGAGCUGCAGGGUUUCUCUCACCACAUCCUGCCUCCCACAAACGCACAAAGAGGCAGGCAGGGAGAGCACCUGAAACUCUGCAGUGGGUUGCAUUUCAGUGCAGCUCUCACAUUCCCAAAGGCUGCUGCAUUAAAAUCACCAAAACAGCCCGGUGUGUAAUGUCCACCUAAUAAAGCCGUUUGUCAGAGAGUAAAUCCAGUCAGUCAGUUCCUUAGGGUGUCUUUAGUCCCCUGAGCUUUCGGCCACAUCUCACAGCCCAGCCUUUCUAAAGAGCUAAAUAAUCUAUGUUUCUCCUGAAGUGGAUUUUCUACGCUCAGACGCCCAGAACUUUCCUCCACUUACCGGAGCAUUAAAGCUGCAUGGUGUCCACGUUGAAGUGAGGACACUUGAGGAGCUUUUUUUACGGCCGUUUGAUGCCUCUAAGAGGAAGUAGGUCGCGAACCGAGGAGUUAUCAAACCAGAACAUCUGCGUGAUAAUUCAACAGCUCCAUGUGGUGUGAAGUAUAAGUUUACUUUAACUACACAAACCCUGAACUACUUCUGCUUAAAAGGAGAAAUAUUAAUUUUCAGUUUCAGAUCAUUUGACACCAUUUGGUGAGGUAUUGAUGACGUGUUGCAGGGUUACAGUACCAGCCGGAUCUUUGGAACCGUUCUCCUUUGCAGCUUCUUUGAGAUAAAACUGAACAAAAGUUGCUCAUUUGCAACUUUUGUUGUACUUAGCAACAUUUGCCCAGGCAGCUGGACUUUCUCUAGCAAUACCAGAAAGAUUCAGCUCCUUACCCUCCUAAUUAAGUUUUUAACUCUACUAGAAUGGCGAGUACAACCAGAAAAAAAAUUAUAUGUGACCCUCUUUAACCGACAAGGCAAACAAAAGCAUUGUUUGGAAAUACUUUCCCUAUGAGGCAGAAGGGCGGGAAACAAGGAAAUGCCAACGGAUGACACAGGCUAGCUGGGCUAAUGCUACAGGCUAACGCCACCAUGUUUGUGAGAAACUUAAAGAGGGUGAGUAAAGCUCCUGUAUAUAGAGCUGACAGAAGCUAGCGUGUUUCACAGACAUGAUAACAGGGUUCUGUUGAUCUGAGAUCGAGAUGCAAAGUUUCAAACCAACAACACUUCGUUCUUCUCUGCUACGAAUGAAUGCAGGAAAAGGUUGAAAAGGAAAAUUAUUUUAUCAGUAAUAUUUAAU